rnacentral:lncRNA from 1 species
GGUUGAGAUGUAUAAUUGCAGGAGAAAUUCUGACUUUACUGUUUUCUAUCUGAUACAUCCAUGGUGGGGAAAAGAUAUGAAACUGUCUCAGUUUGAAAAGCUCUUCUACUUCAAUUGGCAAACGCAUGGAGUUCGUUACUUUCUACUUUCUUCUUUUUUCUCCUUUAGUGAGCAAAUUAUUCCUUGAACAGAAAGAGGAUUUUCCCAUUUAGAGGAAGCUUCUGUGUGAAUUGUCAGGUCACACAAAUAAUGCCAUUAUAUUGUUGAGUGUAGGGCUUUGGUUUUUCAGGGGACACAUAGCCAAGCAGUGAUGGUCAGGAAUUAUGUCUCACUCUAUCAUUUCUUACUCAAGCAGGGUUCCAGCCAGAUUCUAUUGUGAGCUGAGGUUAGUCGGGGGACCCUGUGCUCUACUUGAAGUUUCAUAAUCUUUAGUUCUAUGAAAUGCAAUAACAUAUAUUAGCCAGCAAUAUUCCUGUGGUCGCCAGCAUCUCUGAGUUUGACCUUCAGUCUCUGGAUGGUUAAAAUAGAUCCCAGCAGUAAUCCAUUUCUUGACAUCAGUGCUUAAGUCAAGUAUCUUUCCACUCUGGUCCUAUUUGCAACAAUGUAUUCAUGUAUGUUUCAUUUCCUUUAUUCAUUAUUUUCCUAUGAACAGUGAUAAAUGUAUUAGCACAUUGAAUUAAUAGCAUAAUAGAAAGAGCACUUAGCAGAUGGGGAUUUUUUAUCAAGUCCCACAUUUACAUAAGUUAUUUCUAUUAUUAUUCAUGUAUAUUAUUUAUUGCUAAGCCUCACACCAUUCCUGUGAAAGUGCAACUAAAGGCAGAUAUUAGGGCUUGGAUUUAAUGUUCCUUAUCAUGGUCUUGAACAAAAAAUUCAGUGAUGCCCCCAAAUAAGCUGCCUGCGUUUUUAACACGACUGCUAGAUUUCAGUAGGUUAAGUGUAACACUUUUGGUGUCUAGGUGUCUUUUUACAUUAAAAGAGGCAAAGCAGCAGAACUCUGUAGCUAUUGCUUCUGGCAGAGAUUUGUUUAGCAUAGUGUGGUAUUAAUUAUAGCAAAUGUUAAGGUAGCAUGUAGAGGUUGCCUUCAAUAAGGGACUGUGCCAGGUGGCCAGCAAAGUGGAUUCUAGGCAGAGCAGGCGUCUAGGUGCUGCCUCCUGUCUGGUUGUGUGAAGAGAGCUGCUCCGAGCAAUGUAGUGCCCCCGUGCCCCCGUAGGUGUCCUGGGCAGCGGUGGGAACACGUGGUACUGUAGAGAAGGGAUCAGCGUGAGGGGUGUUCUGUAGGAACAGAACUGGUAGCGUAUGCCUUGAGGCUUCCUGCCCGUGUUUUCAGAUUCCAGGCAUACAUUCUGUAUACAGAAGCAGUCCAUCCUAGCAAUAAAACCUAGGAAUCCCCAACAACUCAAAAGGCAGUUGCCCUGCUGUGGUUUCUGUCCUGAGCUGAAGGUUAACGGGCAAGUGUUAGGCACAGAAGAGCAUCGUGUGCUGGGGUGCCGUGCCACGGCCCAGGGUGCGUGUUAGCAGUAGAGACUGUUACAGGGUUGUCCCUUCUAGGUGCGUAGAAGUAUAUGGCUUCACUGUAAAGUGUGUAUUGUUUCUGUAUUCCCACAGGGACUUGUUAAAGCUUCUAGAGGCUUCAGCAAAGCUGUAGACCACAGUAAGCUGCUUUUUGUUUGACUUAUUCUUAGACUAGGAAAUGUUUAAAGGUUAAAAAAAAAAAGAAUCUUCAUUUAGACACUGAACUCGCUAUUUUCUGGACUGAAAUCAUGGUCCUAGAACUGUAGAAAUCACACCCAUUAGAUGCUAAUCUAGGUUGUGUAAGCCAGCCCCAAGAGUCUAGCAUCCCCACACUGUAUCUGCAUCUUCCUGCAUCUUACCUUCCUUCCCGAAGGUGCUCCCUACCACUACCCUGACCUGUCCCUUUGGUGCUUCCCAUCUCCUUGGCUGAAAGUUAGGCAUCAAGCAUGUGAUGAGAAAUACUUUCAGCACCAAGUAUGCCUGCCUAGGCCUAGCCACCGCCCCCACUUUGCCUUUGGCUAGCCAUAGUCAACAAGAGAUAAUACCUGGUGCUGGGCACAGAAUGAACCCAUGAUGUCAGUCAGAAAAGCCCUCAAGCAUAUUUCUCCUGUACGUCCUGAUCUUUAAACCCAGUCAUUAUGCAGAGCGUUCGCUGUUGGCUAUAGUCCCAGGUUAAAAAAAAAAAAAACAUUCCAGGCUGCUGUAGGCUGUCCAUAUGCAGUCUCUGCUUUUACCUUGCUUUUUCAUACUUGAAAUUCGUUCUGCCAUUUUGAUUUCACGGUGCAGACAUCAGGGUACACGUUCCCUCUGGGUGCAUAAUUGCUCUCAUUCCGUUUGCUCACACUGCUACAGGAUGCUCUGUUUUGGUGCUUUGGGUUCAGCGGGUCAAAAAGCACUGUGGGAAAUCACUGCCUAGAACACAGUCUUAAAAGCAUUUGGGCAGGAGUCUUGGUGUUGAUGUCGCUUCUGCUCUUCUCUGUGCCCUCCAGAUGGAGUUACCAGGUUGGCCUGCCAGGUCCCCCACUCCCACCCCCAAGACCUUUCUCUGAAUGGCCUGUGAACCCUGUGCUGUAUCCAAGGGUGAAUGUGACGUAUCUCCUCUGGCGACCCUACCUUUCCUGGUUACUCACCAUCAGAAACAACCUAGGUUACAUAUAGCAAACUCUACACAGCCUUCCUGAGGGAAAGCAUAAAAGGAUAUCUCUAAGGUUGCUCUUCAAAGCCCUGAGCUGAAGGCCUUUGCUCCCGUCCUUGGAGCUGAUGAAAAUACUGGUCAAUUUAUCCAAGCCCUUCCCACUUACAAGAAUGGGAAAGUAGAGGUUUGUGUCGAUACCAUCUAAAGACCACAACUUCUAGCCAUAGGGUAUUUCAUAUAUGUCCAUUUUCAAAAGCAGCUCAGGUGAGUGGUGACUCCAGGCUCCAUGCAGGCAUCUUAACAUGGGACUUCCCUAGAGAGAGCUACAGUGUUCAUUCUAUGUCACAGGGCAGGAGAGGAGACCGGCAGGAAAUUUGGAGGGUAACAGAUCAAUACUCCUUUGGAAACUGGAUGUCUUACUGGGUGCUAGAAUGCAAAUUUAUGUAUUUAUUGUCUGGUCAUUGAAUUCAUUGCCUUUCAAAACCAUUGUUCAAAUGUCACUAUCAUUGGCCUCACUUGUAUGCCAGCCGAAUUGGUUGAAAGCAAACCAGAGAAUGGUUUGUGCAUUUGCCUUACCAUUUGUACUUCUUACAAUAAAAAUGUCAGUAG